AGGGGGUAACGUUCCUCCCAGGACUAU
rnacentral:tRNA from 1 species